rnacentral:rRNA from 1 species
AGCUAUGUGUGGACUAGAUAACCUCUGAAAGCAUCUAAGCGGGAAACUCACCUCGAAACCAGUUCUCCCUUGAGAGCCGUGGAAGACCACCACGUUGAUAGGCCGGGUGUGGAAGUGCAGCAAUGCAUGCAGCUUACCGGUACUAAUAGCUCGAUCGGCUUGAU